rnacentral:tRNA from 1 species
GCCGUUGUAGCUCAGGGGUAGAGCAUCGCAUUCGUAAUGCGAGGGUCGAAGGUUCAAAUCCUUUCAACGGCACCA